UGGCAGGGACACCGUCCUGCCUGCUCCCCGUCUGCCCCAGGGCUUGUGGGGGAGCCCCCCCCCCCCCGGGUGCAAAGGCCCAGGCUGCUCUGGGAGCUUCCCGCCUCCACGGAGAGACCAGCCCCAGGAAGUGCUAGGAGCGAGUCACAUAUUAUCCUGACGAUAGGCCAGGCCCUGUGUCAGCCUCAGGCGCACAGGCGAGGAGGCAGGCUGCCUGCCUCAUGUGCAGCAUCGCCUCCAGCUCCAGCAGUGCCAGGGACGCGCGGAGAAACCCACUCACCCAAGACUCACAGCUGACAGGAACCGAAACACAGAGAGGGAAGCCACUCGUCCAAGGUCACCCAGCUGGUGUGUGUGCCGCUGAGAUUUUCCACCAGGUGGCUCAGAGUCCAGCUCCUGACCACAAUACCCAGAAGCCUCCAGACUUACAGUUAGAAUGCAGCUAAGAGGCGCCAAUACAAUGUGAAGGCCGGCCGAGGACUGCAGGCCGUGUCCUCUGGAGUUCGCUAGGGAGCCCUACAAGAAGCCCAUUGACCCCCUGGCCCGGAGGAGUCCUCCUCCUUGUGGUCCUUCAGGCUGCUCGUCACUUACUCAAGCGAACCGGAGAUGGGCACCCGAGGCAGAUGCUCCAGGAGGCACUGGAGCCCGGCAUCACCCAGCUGGUUUGCUGAGAGGCUGCGAGAGGUCAGAGGAGGUUGGUGGCGGUCAGAUGCGCCCCCUCACCCGGGGCCUUCUCUUCAGUUACCACCGCUGGUACUCUACCCACACAGCACUGUCGUCAGCACCUUCGCCAUCACCUCCACCCCUGUGCACUACAGCCCCAACAUCGGCACCAUCCCAUCAUUCUACCAACAUCACCACCUCCAUCAGCACUAGAAUGAGCACCGGCGGCCCCAGCACCGCACGGCAGCUCCCCGGGCCCACAUCAUCCCCCCACCAGCACCACAGUUAACCAGACCUCAUCUUCCCCUUCAGUAUCUGCUGACUACUCCCCGGGGUCGUGUGCUUUCAGGAGUUAGGGAAAAAACGAUUAGCUGUUACGAUGCCCUUGGCCCGCAUCAGUUGGGAGCUGUAAUUUCUGAACAAGAGUAAAUUCAGGAAAAAGAAAA